rnacentral:rRNA from 1 species
CCAAAGAGGGGGACCGCAAGGCCUCUCGCUUCAGGAUAUGCCUAGGUGGGAUUAGCUAGUUGGUGAGGUAAGGGCUCACCAAGGCGACGAUCCCUAGCUGGUCUGAGAGGAUGAUCAGCCACACUGGAACUGAGACACGGUCCAGACUCCUACGGGAGGCAGCAGUGGGGAAUAUUGCACAAUGGGCGCAAGCCUGAUGCAGCCAUGCCGCGUGUGUGAAGAAGGCCUUCGGGUUGUAAAGCACUUUCAGUCGUGAGGAAGGUAGUGUAGUUAAUAGCUGCAUUAUUUGACGUUAGCGACAGAAGAAGCACCGGCUAACUCCGUGCC